GAGUUUGAUCGUGGCUCAGGACGAACGCUGGCGGCGUGCCUAACACAUGCAAGUCGAACGGAAACAGCAUGAAGCUUGCUUUGAGCUGUUUUAGUGGCGGACGGGUGAGUAACGCGUGAGUAACCUGCCUUUCAGAGGGGGAUAACGUCUGGAAACGGACGCUAAUACCGCAUGACAUAUUUUGGUCGCAUGGCCGGGAUAUCAAAGGAGCAAUCCGCUGAAAGAUGGACUCGCGUCCGAUUAGCUAGUUGGUGAGAUAAAGGCCCACCAAGGCGACGAUCGGUAGCCGGACUGAGAGGUUGAACGGCCACAUUGGGACUGAGACACGGCCCAGACUCCUACGGGAGGCAGCAGUGGGGGAUAUUGCACAAUGGAGGAAACUCUGAUGCAGCAACGCCGCGUGAGGGAAGACGGUUUUCGGAUUGUAAACCUCUGUCCUUGGUGACGAAAAAAAUGACGGUAGCCAAGGAGGAAGCUCCGGCUAACUACGCGCCAGCCGCCGCCGUAAG
rnacentral:rRNA from 1 species